rnacentral:lncRNA from 1 species
GUGUCCACCCAUAUGUCCAGCCAUGCCAGCUAUACUUGAUAAAAGUCCUUUAUCACUUUGUUCUGAUUCAUCAUGUUUAUCCUUACCACCACCAGUUGCAGGGUAACCUUGAGGAGGGUAGCUUUCACCAGCUGGAGGAUAAGAUUGAGGUGGAUAACUAGCCGGAGGAUAUCCUCCCUGUGAAGGAUAUCCUUGAGGAGGAUAGGCUUCACUAGAUGGAGGGUAACCUUGAGGAGGAUAGGCUUCACUAGAUGGAGGGUAACCUUGAGGAGGAUAGGCUUCACUAGAUGGAGGGUAACCUUGAGGAGGAUAGGCUCCACCAGCUUGAGGGUAACCUUGAGGAGGGUAGGCUCCACCAGCUUGAGGGUAACCUUGAGGAGGGUAGGCUCCUGGUGGAUACCCAGAUUGAUAUCCACCCACAUUACCGGAUUCAUCAUUCUUACCGUUGCCCAUUAUUCCCU